rnacentral:rRNA from 1 species
GAUGAACGCUGGCGGCAUGCCUAAUACAUGAAAGUCGAGAGAAGCGGGGACGGGUGAGUAACACGUGGCUAACCUACUAUAAGAGUGGGAUCGCUUCGUGAAACCGGAGCUAAACCGGAGACUUAUAGGUGGAUCAGCGCUGCAUUAGCUAUUUGGUAAGGUAACGGCUUACCAAGGCAACGAUGCAUAGCCGACCUGAGAGGGUGAUCGGCCACACUGGAACUGAGACACGGUCCAGACUCCUACGGUAGGCAGCAGGAGGGAAUCUUCCGCAAUGGGCGAAAGCCUGACGGAGCAACGCCGCGUGAGUGAUGAAGGUCUUCGGAUCGUAAAACUCUGUUAUUAGGGAAGCGGUACCUAAUCAUAAAGCCCCGGCUAACUACGUGCCAGCCGCCGCGGUAAUUC